CUGAGGGCCGCGUUCGGGUCAAUUGCGGACUGCAACACCCGAUCUCCCUCCGGGCGCCCCCAGACGGGGUGCCCGACGAGGGGGAGCGUGUCACCGUCAG
rfam:halophilic archaeon J07HB67 genomic scaffold scf_7180000098878, whole genome shotgun sequence.